rnacentral:rRNA from 1 species
AUGCACGCUGGCGGCGUGCUUAACCCAUGCAAGUCGCACGAAGCACUUUAUUUGAUUUCCUUCGGGACUGAUUAUUUUGUGACUGAGUGGCGGACGGGUGAGUAACGCGUGGGUAACCUGCCUUGUACAGGGGGAUAACAGUUGGAAACGGCUGCUAAUACCGCAUAAGCGCACAGCAUCGCAUGAUGCAGUGUGAAAAACUCCGGUGGUAUAAGAUGGACCCGCGUUGGAUUAGCUAGUUGGUGAGGUAACGGCCCACCAAGGCGACGAUCCAUAGCCGACCUGAGAGGGUGACCGGCCACAUUGGGACUGAGACACGGCCCAAACUCCUACGGGAGGCAGCAGUGGGGAAUAUUGCACAAUGGGCGAAAGCCUGAUGCAGCGACGCCGCGUGAGCGAAGAAGUAUUUCGGUAUGUAAAACUCUAUCAGCAGGGAAGAUAAUGACGGUACCUGACUAAGAAGCACCGGCUAAAUACGUG